UACGGAAGGCAGCAGUGGGGAAUAUUGCACAAUGGGCGCAAGCCUGAUGCAGCCAUGCCGCGUGUAUGAAGAAGGCCUUCGGGUUGUAAAGUACUUUCAGUCGUGAGGAAGGUGUUAAGGUUAAUAACCUUAGCAAUUGACGUUAGCGACAGAAGAAGCACCGGCUAACUCCGUGCCAGCAGCCGCGGUAAUACGGAGGGUGCGAGCGUUAAUCGGAAUUACUGGGCGUAAAGGGCACGCAGGCGGUUAAUUAAGUUGGAUGUGAAAUCCCCGGGCUUAACCUGGGAAUGGCAUUCAAGACUGGUUAGCUAGAGUCUUGUAGAGGGGGUAGAAUUCCAUGUGUAGCGGUGAAAUGCGUAGAGAUGUGGAGGAAUACCGGUGGCGAAGGCGGCCCCUGGACAAAGGCUGACGCUCAUGUGCGAAAGCGUGGGGAGC
rnacentral:rRNA from 1 species